rnacentral:rRNA from 1 species
UACGUAGGGUGCGAGCGUUAAUCGGAAUUACUGGGCGUAAAGCGUGCGCAGGCGGUUCGUUGUGUCGGUGGUGAAAGCCCCGGGCUUAACCCUGGGAAUGGCCAUGGAAACUGGCGAACUGGAGUGUGGCAGAGGGGGGUGGAAUUCCGCGUGUAGCAGUGAAAUGCGUAGAGAUGCGGAGGAACACCGAUGGCGAAGGCGAGUCCCUGGACGAUACCUGACACUGAGGCACGAAAGCAAGGGAGCAAACAGG